UGUUGUGUUUAGAGUGUUGUAAUUACAGAAUCAAAUUUUAUACUUCCUAAUGUCUGUUAAUGUAUCUGUAUAAUCGUGAAAAAGCUAUGUAUAUCAAACAUUUUGAAUACCAAUGUUUUAGCAAGCAGAACAAGAAAAUGAGCAAUGGAGAAAACAAGAAUUAGCUGCAAAAGAAGCAGAGGAAAACCCUCCAGCAUAUGUAAGAAAAAAGAACUCUCAAUGCACAAAAAAUUAAACAGGAUGCUGUUCUCAAUUAAUUGAAGAAUAAGACACGUCAGGUCAAAGAAAAAAGGCUUUUAAAACAAGAUGAAAUCUAUAACGGUGCUCUUGAGGAUAUACUCUUAGGUCUUAAGAAUGAGCCUUAUCGUUGAGCCUAUGCAGUAAGAAGAAGUCAGAGAAGGAAACAAGAAAAUGUCAGACUUUCUCGAACAAUGGAUGAACUAGAUUUUUAGAAAGUUUUCUUAUAGGCAUGCAAUUAAAUUAAACCAAGUGCUUGUGUAAGUGACAGUAAUUUGGUUUGGAAAACACUUUUAGCUAGUCAACACAGGAAGUGUAUCAAAAUCUUCGAAAUCAGAUUGUACAAUAUUUUUUGAUACAUUUGUAGAGGAGGAGAAGAGCUGUUGUCCAAGAUGUAAAUUUAGGACAUCUAAUACUUUCUUAGUUUACAAUAUGUGUUGUUUGUUUUGGCAAUAGAUAAUAAUAAUGCAUUAUUCAUGGACCAUCAUAGGUUCUUUGAAUAAAGAUAUUACAUUGUUCCUCUGAAGCUUGAUGGAAAAUCUCUUGAAAGCAGCACCAUAACCACAGCUAAUAUUCUAAUAUGGUGAAACCUGGGUUUUGA